AACAUUAAGCAAGUUCAAUUAAAUUUUAUUGAAGUUAUAAAAGAAACACAAGGAAAUCUUAAAGAAAUAUAAAAGAAUAUUAAAAAAAACUUAGUCAAAUCCUAAAAAAAAUCUAAAUAAAUCUUAAAUUCUAACCAAAUACUAAUCCUAAUCCAACCUUAAUCAAACCCUAGAUAAAUCCUAAACCCUAAACAUAUCCUAGUCAAAUCUUAGACAAAUCCUAACCCUAACAAAUCCUAAUCAAUUCCAAAUUCUAAAACAAAUCCUAGUUAAAUCCUAGUCAAAUCUUAAUUCUAAAUCCUAAUCAAAUCCUAACCCUAAUC
rnacentral:lncRNA from 1 species